rnacentral:rRNA from 1 species
GAUGAACGCUGGCGGCGUGCUUAACACAUGCCAGUCGAGCGAACAGACGAGGAUCUUGCUCCUCUGACGUUAGCGGCGGGCGGGUGAGGAACACGUGGAUAACCUACCUAUAAGACUGGGAUAACUUCGGGAAACCGGAUCUAAUAUCGGAUAAUAUAUUGAACCGCAUGGUUCAAUAGUGAAAGACGGUUUUGCUGUCACUUAUAGAUGGAUCCGCGCCGCAUUAGCUAGUUGGUAAGGUAACGGCUUACCAAGGCAAGCAUGCGUAGCCGACCUGAGAGGGCGAUCAGCCACACUGGGACUGAGACACGGCCCAGACUCCUACGGGAGGCAGCAGUGGGGAAUCUUCCGCAAUGGGCGAAAGCCUGACGCAGCAACGCCGCGUGAGUGAUGAAGGUCUUCGGAUCGUAAAACGCUGUUAUUCGGGAAGAACAAAUGUGUAAGUAUACAUGCACGUCUUGACGGUACCGAAUGAAAAAGCAACGGCUAACUACGUG